rnacentral:rRNA from 1 species
UGGGGAAUAUUGGACAAUGGGCGCAAGCCUGAUCCAGCCAUACCGCGUGGGUGAAGAAGGCCUUCGGGUUGUAAAGCCCUUUUGUUGGGAAAGAAAUCCAGCUGGUUAAUACCCGGUUGGGAUGACGGUACCCAAAGAAUAAGCACCGGCUAACUUCGUGCCAGCAGCCGCGGUAAUACGAAGGGUGCAAGCGUUACUCGGAAUUACUGGGCGUAAAGCGUGCGUAGGUGGUCGUUUAAGUCCGUUGUGAAAGCCCUGGGCUCAACCUGGGAACUGCAGUGGAUACUGGGCGACUAGAAUGUGGUAGAGGGUAGCGGAAUUCCUGGUGUAGCAGUGAAAUGCGUAGAGAUCAGGAGGAACAUCCAUGGCGAAGGCAGCUACCUGGACCAACAUUGACACUGAGGCACGAAAGC